CUUCUCACUCUCCCUCCCCAUCUUCUUCCUCUCAUUCUCAUGCCUUUUUCUCUAUUAGACGCCGUCGAAGCACCCCCCUCGGGAAUCGCUCCUUCUCCACCAUUUAAGCAACAUCGCGUUGCUUAAUGAAGAGAUCGGAGCCUCAAUGCUAGGAAGUGCAGGGCGAUGAUCUGAAAUCUUCUCCGAUUAGUGGCGUUUAUCCGUCGAUUUUUUUGCGGCCCAUGGUUUGCUUGAUAGCGGUAGUGGUACAGCUAGGAGAUGGCAACGCAGUGAACGUCGCUCUUCGUGGCUCUGCUUGAUUUCUUUUUCUUCUUUUUUUAGUAUCAGCAGGCGGCAGUGAGGUGAUUGAUUGGAGGUGUAGCUGGUGGGUGGUUGGAGCAGGAUACAUCGACUAUUUUCAUGGGGCAUGACGGUUUAAAACUAUCAUACAUCGCCGAUGUAUGUGAUGGUGGAGCUGCUGGUGGCGGUUCAUGAAGAUGAUGAUGAUGGUGAUGGCAAUGGUGCAAUGGUGGUGGUUGUGUGGUGUUGACGACGGUCAUAGGGUGAAGGUGGUCGUAAGUGGCAAUAGUGUUGGUGUUGGUGUUAUGUGACCCAAUAUUUUGGUGUAUGUGAUCAAUUAUUUGAUUACUUGUGAUCAAGUAUUAAAUCGUGACGUUAAAAAGUUUGAUAACUCGUGACUAAAAAAUAAUUUAUGACCAACAAAUUUAAGAAUCUGCGACUUAUAAAAUUUUUGAUUUAUGAUCUCAAAAUAAUCUGUGAUCGUUUGAUUUGAUAAUAUUUGACUAAUAAAUAAG
rnacentral:lncRNA from 1 species